UCCCGCGUCUAUUAAUUGUAGACUUUGCGAAUGGUUUAACGUUUCUUUUAUUGUGUCGGUUUUGUUAGCUAGAAAUUUUUUUUAAGGUUAAGAAACUUUAAUAGGCUUAAAAGACGAGAAGACCCCGUGAAACUUUAUUCUGAGUAAAAAAUUUUUUUAUAACUGAAUUUUGUUGGGGUAACAUUUUCUAAUGAAAAAAAGAAAAAAAUUGUCUUAGUAAAUUGAUAAAUUUCUUGAUCCAAAAUUUUUUGAUUGUAGAUAAAGUUACUCCGGGGAUAACAGGAUAAUUUUUUUUGUUUAGAUCUUAUUUCAAAAAAAGUUUGUCACCUCGAUGUUGGCUUAAGCGAACUUAUUCGGCGCAGCCGCUGAAUUGAGUAGGACUGUUCGUCCAUUGAGUGCUUACAUGAUCUGAG
rnacentral:rRNA from 1 species